UACGUAGGUGGCGAGCGUUGUCCGGAUUUACUGGGCGUAAAGGGAGCGUAGGCGGACUUUUAAGUGAGAUGUGAAAUACCCGGGCUCAACUUGGGUGCUGCAUUUCAAACUGGAAGUCUAGAGUGCAGGAGAGGAGAAUGGAAUUCCUAGUGUAGCGGUGAAAUGCGUAGAGAUUAGGAAGAACACCAGUGGCGAAGGCGACUCUCUGGACUGUAACUGACGCUGAGGCCCGAAAGCGUGGGGAGCAAACAGGAUUAGAUACCCGUGUAGU
rnacentral:rRNA from 1 species